CGGCUGAGCCCUCGGUCCCUCUCCUGGACACGAAGCUCCCGCCCUAGUGGGGCCCCACGCAAUACUACAUCCUGCUGAUCCUGACGGACGGCGUGGUGACCGACAUGGCCGACACACGGGAGGCCAUUGUGCGUGCCUCACGCCUGCCCAUGUCCAUCAUCAUCGUGGGCGUGGGCAACGCCGACUUCACCGACAUGCAGGUCUUGGAUGGCGACGACGGCGUCCUGCGCUCCCCACGGGGUGAGCCCGCGCUCCGGGACAUCGUACAGUUCGUGCCCUUCCGGGAGCUCAAGAACGCAUCCCCUGCGGCGCUGGCCAAGUGCGUGCUGGCCGAGGUCCCGAAGCAGGUGGUGGAGUACUACAGCCACAGAGGCCUGCCCCCGAGAGGCCUGGGCGUCCCUGCCGGAGAGGCCAGCCCAGGCUGCACACCGUGAAGACGUGGAGGGCGUCGGGGGGGCAGUGAGGAGUGGGUCCGUACAGCCUCUGUCUCCAACAUGCUUGGGGUCCCUUAAGCUCCCUCCGACCUCCCAGAAGCCUCCAGUCCCCACCAGGCCCUACUCCCAGUCCUCCUGGGAUCCUGCUGGCUUGGGCCCGGCUCUGGGGCCCCCAAGGCCGAAGGGUGACAAAAUACAGGCCCCCAUGCCUGGCCCUGCCUGAGCCAGGUGGGUGG
rnacentral:sRNA from 1 species